AUGGUGGGAAUCCGAGGUCAGUCCAGAUUCAGUGCUGCAGAUCUUCUGUCAGGAAGGAAAGACGGUGGACAGGAGGACAGCGAGAUUGUAAAGACUCCAGUAAUUACAGACGAGGCUCGUAGAAUGAUGCUGAUCACUGGACCGAACCUCUGUGAGGAGGACACAGAGAGACAGACCUUCACAACAGCACUGUUUCUCUCGUCUCCUGGACCUCACGCCGUUCUAAUGCUCCUGAAUCUGGAAGAUCAACAAUCACAACAGUGUGAUAUUGUGAAACGAGCUCAGGAGCUGCUGGGAGCAGAAGUCCUGCAGUACUGCAUUGUUCUUCUGCUGCAAAAUCACCAGGAACCUUUCACAGGAGCCUCCAGAGAAAUGAUCGACGCAUGUGGAGGAAGAUUUCUCAUCAUAAGAGACUCUGAACCUAAACCUGCUCAAAGAGCAGCUCUCGUAGCAGAAAUACACAAGUUAGUUUGGCUCAACGAUCACAGAUUUUACUCAGUAGUGACUCAAGAGUUAGAAACAGAAAAGCUGGAACUUUUACAAAGACUACAAGAAAUAGAAAACAAACUUAAAGAAGAGACCACUCAAAAUGUAAAUAAAGAAAAUCCAGUCUUGCCUGAAAUAUAUGACACUUUAGGAGGAAUUGUUGGAAUUGUAGGAUGGAUUUUCUUCAUUGUAUUGAAUGCUGUUGUUAUUUUUACUAAAGGAAAGCAUGAACUUUGUAACGUUGGAGCAAUAUUAUGUGUAGUUGUUAUUUUUAUGGUUACAUUUAGAAAUAAUCUGAGCCCAGAUGUUGCUGUACCAAUAAAUAUGUCUCUUUGCUCAAUGUUUGUUGUUACGGUUACGUGCAACGGAUUAUUAAAUUUAACAAUAGUACAUAAAAUCUUGAUGUAUAUAGUAGUUUUACUUUCAUUUCUUAUUUCAGGAUUAGCUUUAGGACUGAUCCUGGCAACAGCCACUAGCAUAAAGACGUGGUCAGAUGUGCUCAUAGCGUGUCAUGCGGCUCCUGGCAUCACACUCGGGGCUAUUUUAAGCACAAUUUUUUGCUCUUCAUUUGAUCAAAAGUAUGCCGGGAUUACUCUCACCAUUGCAUUGAAGUCAUUCCUGUUUUGUUCAGUGGGAGCGAUGCUCUCAAUGGGACUGGUGACUGUGUUCUGUUGGGUGUCUGCUGUUUUGGGUGUGAAGAUGACAACAAUUCUGUUAAUAGUAGGAUUUACAAUGGGGUAUUUCUAUUUAACAAUCAGAAUUUUUCUGUGUGCAAUUUCUAUCCUGAUACUUCCAUGUUGCUGUGUACUUAUUGGUUCUAUCAUUUUAGUUUUAUAA
rnacentral:lncRNA from 1 species